GAUGAACGCCGGCGGCGUGCUUAACACAUGCAGGUCGAACGGUGAAGCAGGAGCUUGCUCUUGUGGAUCAGUGGCGAACGGGUGAGUAACACGUGAGCAACCUGCCCCUGACUCUGGGAUAAGCGCUGGAAACGGCGUCUAAUACUGGAUAUGUGAUGUGACCGCAUGGUCUGCAUCUGGAAAGAAUUUCGGUUGGGGAUGGGCUCGCGGCCUAUCAGCUUGUUGGUGAGGUAAUGGCUCACCAAGGCGUCGACGGGUAGCCGGCCUGAGAGGGUGACCGGCCACACUGGGACGGAGACACGGCCCAGACUCCUACGGGAGGCAGCAGUGGGGAAUAUUGCACAAUGGGCGGAAGCCUGAUGCAGCAACGCCGCGUGGGGGAUGACGGCCUUCGGGUUGUAAACCUCUUUUAGCAGGGAAGAAGCGAAAGUGACGGUACCUGCAGAAAAAGCACCGGCUAACUACGUGCCAGCCGCCGCCGUAA
rnacentral:rRNA from 1 species